CUUCCCCCAUUGGCUGACGGUGCUAAUUAUUGUGGGUUUAGCGUUGACUCAAAACGUAUGCACUACUACUACUAUUAUAGUAUAGAAGUAAAAAUACCUGUAGCUAUGUUCCUAUUUGGACAUAAUCAAAAACAUCGACACCACAGCGUUUCUCGUUCUAAGAGGAUGCUAUAAUAAAUAGAUAAUUGUGAUUUUCAGAUUUAUUUGAGUACUGGGAAUUUAUUUGCCGUGCAUAUAUGCUGAUGAAUUGAAUAUGAAACUAAAAUCGUGAAUGUUUUUCAAAGGCGUCUGUGUGGCGUCAGCUGGGAAUGUUCCACACAGAUGUUCAAUAAGCGAUCGAGUUCUACGAAACUCACUAGGCCUACUCUCAUUUUAAUAAAUUCAAAACCACUACUGUAAUGAAAAUAAAAGCCAAUAAACGGAAUAAUUACUGUCAAACUAUUAUUUUUAUUUAAUUGUUGAAUUAGGCCUUUUGUAUUUAAUAUUACGUUUCAUGCCUAUUCAAGUGGUUUUGACAAACUUUUAUAAUGUGGACGGCUGCUAUGUCAUAAUGUACAUGAUGUCAUAAUGAAGCAUUAAUUUGUUAAAAUAAGAUAUUCCAUAGACAGGUCAUUGACGCUCUUCCUGAACUGAUGUAGGACCAAUAAUUUAAUGAAAUAAUCUCAAAUACAUUACUUUUAUCUUAUGAGAACUUUAUUUGCUCAAUAACUGUCAAAAACUUUUAUAUUUGGUGAUUUGUGAUUUAAAACUAGGUCUUGUGUUUCUGUUUUCAAUAAUAUAUUGUUGAAACUGUAUAGUCAAAUCCUACUUGUGCAAAUGAUCUGGAAGUCCAAAUUGAAGGCACUGCAGAGGCUAAGAAGACGCAUGGAAACUCUAAAACAAACAUAAUUCAACUUGUAGGCCAGAUUUGAAAAGGAAAUAAUAAAUCCCGAAGCUCAGAUGUCAGACACCGAGGCUGCCAGUACCUCUGGGUCGAUAGUCCAUGUGUUGGAUGAUGCACCGCCGUUGAUCAGAACAGACAGCGUAUACUUGACCAAAGCUAAGCUUGGAUACAAGACUGAUGACUCAAUAACCAGUAUUGACAACAGUGAAGAUGGUUGUGUCCCAGGGCCAUCAGAGGAAGGCAAUUUCUAUAAAGAAAAUCUGACCGGAGAGAUGUCAGCGAUUCGGGCUAAACAGCCAAUGACCAAGGGAAAGCUGGGACAAAAGAGAGGCUCACACGGUGCCAAAGGAACAAAAAGGUAUUGGUCGACAAUAGAGGUGGAUGCAGUUGAUUCCUUGAUGAAUUUUAUCCGAAUGGGAAAAACACCUGGAAAACAAGACUGUGAGAAAUGCAUUGCUGCUUCUCCCCAAGCGCUAGUAAACAGGGACUGGAGAGCAGUUAAGUUCGAUGUACACAACAGAAUAGUUGCAGAUCAGAGAAAAUAAGUUUAUGAGAUGCUUCUGGCUAUCUUGGUGUACUUCUGAGGAUUUAGUGGGACUUACUUGACUUAAACUCAUAGGCAUAUGAUGAAUGUCCUCUAUCUCACUGUUACGAUCGUCAAAAGGAGUCGAUCAAAACGCAGCGUAUUGAGUGCUCAUAUUUAUUACUAUAAUGAAACACUUAAAAAAAGAAUCAAAAACGAAAGCAAACAGUUCCGUCAGGAAACAGACAACUAAACGGAAAACAACUACCCACAAAAACCCAGGUGGGAAAAGGAUGCCUAAGUAUGGCUCCCAAUCAGAGACAACGAUAGACAGCUGCCUCUGAUUAGGAACCAUACCCGGCCAAAACAUAGAAAUAAAACACAUAGAAUGCCCACCCCAUAUCACACCUAACCAAACAGAGAAAAAUGGCUCUCUCAGGUCAGGGUGUGACACUCACUGUCAGGGGGAAGUUUAUCCAGGUGGGUGGUUCACUUUUGGAGUGACUAAGGUCUCAAGAAUACAAAGCCUGCUGACUUUGAAUGUUACAGAGAAAAAAAAAUCUAAACUAUUAAUCUGUUACUUGGAUAUAUUGAAUCCAUUACUGAAAUGGUUGUUCCAGUUUAAAUACUUUACAGAAGUUCUACACUACAGCCGUUGAGUUGCCAUCCGUGUUGCAUCAUUGUGGCAUUCUACAUGAAUAUUUUCAGUCUUAAAAUAGAAUGAAUGUGUUAAAUAUGGAGAAUUUAAACUUGUUAAUUAUUUUACGCUUCCAUUAGGUACAACGUUGGAUAGCUUUUAUAGAUUUCAUAGGAGGCAUUCUCUCCAUGGCUGAUGGCAAGGCAUUGCAAUGCAUUGAGUGGCUGCUGCCAACAUACAGACUCAAUCUCUCGCCACUUUAAUAAUUCGAUGUAAUAAAUGUAUCACUAGUCACUUAAACAAUGCCGCUUUAUAUGUUUACAUACCCUACAUUACUCAUCUCAUAUGUAUAUACUGUACUCUAUACCAUCUACUGCAUCUUGCCUAUGCUGUUCGGCCAUCGCUCACCCUUAUAUUUAUACGUAUAUAUUGUUAAUUAUUCCUUUAAACGUGUGUGUGUAUAAGGUAGUUGUCGUGAAAUUGUUAGAUUACUUGUUAAAUAUUACUGCACGGUCGGAACUAGAAGCUUACAAGCAUUUCGCUACACUCGCAUAAACAUCUGCUAACCAUGUGUAUGUGACCAAUACAAUUUGAUUUGCAAUGUACGGUUUCAAGUAGUUGGUAAAAUUACAAGUGAACUUUUUUCAAGGAGUCAGCAACUUUUCGUCAUUUCCUCAUAAUAGAUUUUUUUCUAACUCAUGAGUGUAAAUUCUGUGCUUCUAUGAUGUCUGAAAGCAUUGUCCUCAAAAGGUAUGUAUUUGUGAGGAGUCCUAAAUUGGUUACAGAUACAAGAAUGUGUGUGUGUGCGUGCGGUUAGGUUUGAAGCUUCUCUAACCUGCUCUGUGUUGUUGGCCUCUGGAAACACCUCUGGUUGUCAGCGCUCUCUGUGAUAGAAGAUUGGCCUUAGCGCAGCAGCUGUGGCAGACAGAUUCUGCUAGUGAGCGUAAACUGAGAGCACACAGCUGAUUAACCCCUUCACUGCCAGCCAGGGAAAUUGAAAUGUAUGCAAAUAUUUCCCAGUUUAUGCAAAUACUUGCACCAUGACGUGAAACCGUGAACGAAAGAAGGCCGUGUUUCAGUUAUGGUGACGCACGAUCACAUGUAGCCUAACUAACCUAACCUUCCUGAGAGUAUGAUGUAUCAUAUGUAACCCAACAUCCUUCUGUGCUUUGCUCUCUCUCUCUCGCUCUCCUUUCUUGAACCAGUUCUAGAACAACUGAUACAGACAUACUUCUCUGCUUAGUCACAGCUUUCUCAUGCAUGUUUCUAGAGAGAAACUGGGUACGAUGCAUGACUGAUCUUACAGUGCAAUGUAAGAUCUUUGCACUGGCCCCAAUAAAUCUCUACAAAAAUGUGGUAACACCUCUUAAACUUGAGUGAUAUCUUUAUAAUGUUAGUAAGCUUUGGGCUUUGGUGGAGAAAAUGUGUUUCGGAAUGAACCUACAUAAGUUGCCAAAAAGUAUUUGUUAUGAUGGACUGUGGAAAAACCCAAGGGAUAAUCAUCUAUUAGUGUACUGUGUGAGAGCAGAUAUGACAUUUUCUGUCAUUUAAAUAGUUGAGGCUGUGUGUACGUUCAGAUGGUGUUCAAAAUGUGAAGAAUUAUGGCACUAAGUUGUGAGUCAGAUGUGCCUCCUUCGAAUUAAUACAAAUUUGAAUCGGACCUUCACAUCUGUUAGUCCGGUCAGCACUUACCUCUUCUCCUUGGUCAACAAAUCAACAAAUCCAAUGAAGAAAUAAACAUUCUACUAAAAGGUUAUACUUCAUAGCUCACAAGAAACCAACAACACACACCACUGAUCAUUUUCAACUGCAAUAAAACUUUAUAGAAACAGAAUUCUUUGGAACAUGCUGAUGAUAAAUUAACAUUUGCCUAACUAGAAUAACAAGUGGAUUAAUAUUAAUCUCUAGUUGAUACUGAUGGACAUAUUCUAUCAUCACACUAGCGUACUAGAUACUCUGGAUACUCCCAAGGGGUUGAAGCAGUCCAUCUUCAGGAAGAGAACACUCUUCGAGAAGCUACACACCCCAGGGAUGAAAGUACUUUGACAGCUUGUGGCUCCUGUUGGGUCUCAUAGGAAAAGUCUGUUCCAACAGUACUUCCGACAGUAGCUGCUGCUGCUCAUGCACAACAUCCUGGAUCGGUGGGCGCUGGAUCAUUUCUGUCACCUGCCCUUUGUGGUUUGGGGUUGAAAGGGCAGUGGAUGUACAAGGAUGACAGGCAGGGCAGAUGCUGGGAUGAUGCUGGCUGAUCCUCUCUGGUCCAUGGGAGGCCAUGAGGUCUCAAUAGGGCUCCCGAUUGGCGCAGCGGUCUAAGGCACAAGUCCCAUAGGGCAGCGCACAAUUGGUCCAGUGUCGUCCGGGUUAGGGUUUGGCCAGGGGUAGGUCGUCAUUGUAAAUAACAAUUUGUUCUUAACUAACUUGCCUAUUUAAAUAAAGGUAGAAAAUGUUUUAAAAAAUGAAGUUGUGUGUGUGUGUGUCUUUGCAACCCCUACAAAUGGAUUUGCUCCAUCUCUUCAGAAAGAGGCUCUUCAUCCACCUCCAAGAUCGAGGGCAGUGAUGGAGAGACACACACUGGGAAGAAAGGCCCAGACUUAAAGUUAACGUCCCAGUGAAUGGGCUUCACUCUCUUCCUGCGCCCUCGUUGGCUAUUCUCUCGCUUGGCCUUGGCACGGGAGGCGGGCAUGUGCCUUCGCUUGAUAGGAGGCUGUUCUGCCAGUGGGACCAAGGGGGUCAAGAGGAUUUCAGAGGGGCACUUCUCGCCCGCCUGCACGGCUCUCCUACUGGUCAGUAAAGCGGAGUGGUCGGUGUGACCUGUGUGGCUGGGCGUAGGUCUGGGCAGGGGGU
rnacentral:lncRNA from 8 species